rnacentral:piRNA from 1 species
GUGGUUCUCUUGAAAUUUUUUUCAG